UACAGAGGUCUCAAGCGUUGUUCGGAUUCAUUGGGCGUAAAGCGCGUGUAGGCGGCUGUACAAGUCAAAGGUGAAAUCCCUCGGCUCAACUGAGGAACUGCCUUUGAAACUGUACGGCUUGAGGCCGGGAGGGGGUAGCGGAAUUCCCAGUGUAGCGGUGAAAUGCGUAGAUACUGGGAGGAACACCAGUGGCGAAGGCGGCUACCUGGACCGGUUCUGACGCUGAGGCGCGAAAGCGUGGGUAGCAAACAGG
rnacentral:rRNA from 1 species